GCACUCGUAGCUUAAUUGGAUAGAGUAUUGCCCUCCGAAGGCAAAGGUUGUUGGUUCAAGUCCAAUCGGGUGCACCA
rnacentral:tRNA from 1 species